UGGGGAAUAUUGGACAAUGGGCGGAAGCCUGAUCCAGCCAUGCCGCGUGUGUGAAGAAGGCCUUUUGGUUGUAAAGCACUUUAAGCGAGGAGGAGGCUACUUGGAUUAAUACUCUAGGAUAGUGGACGUUACUCGCAGAAUAAGCACCGGCUAACUCUGUGCCAGCAGCCGCGGUAAUACAGAGGGUGCGAGCGUUAAUCGGAUUUACUGGGCGUAAAGCGUGCGUAGGCGGCUUCUUAAGUCGGAUGUGAAAUCCCUGAGCUUAACUUAGGAAUUGCAUUGGAUACUGGGUAGCUAGAGUAUGGGAGAGGAUGGUAGAAUUCCAGGUGUAGCGGUGAAAUGCGUAGAGAUCUGGAGGAAUACCGAUGGCGAAGGCAGCCAUCUGGCCUAAUACUGACGCUGAGGUACGAAAGCAUGGGGAGCAAACAGG
rnacentral:rRNA from 1 species